AAGUCGUAACAAGGUUUCCGUAGGUGAACUUGCGGAAGGAUCAUUAACACGUAUCCGAACGUUAAACCCCCCCCCGUUCUUCUCAACAGGCACAUUAUUGAUUCAAUGACUACGAUUGGCUGCAAGAAAUGCGAGCUCGAAGCAACAGCGGUAAAGCAAUAACUUGUCUGAAAGUGUCAUUUAUUGUGUAAGCCGGCGCUUAAGCGUGCGACUGGAGACCAUCACGGCCAGUGCCUGUUCCGGAUCCUCGUGGUCCCCUACCACAUAAAUUACGACGUCAGUGGUGCGAGGGCCAAGUGGCCUGCCGCACCGAACGCACAACUGUUAACAAUGGAUAUCUUGGUUCUC
rnacentral:misc_RNA from 1 species